UACGUAGGGUGCAAGCGUUGUCCGGAAUUAUUGGGCGUAAAGAGCUCGUAGGCGGUCUGUCACGUCGGCUGUGAAAUCCCGAGGCUCAACCUCGGGUCUGCAGUCGAUACGGGCAAACUAGAGUAUUGCAGGGGAGACUGGAAUUCCUGGUGUAGCGGUGAAAUGCGCAGAUAUCAGGAGGAACACCGAUGGCGAAGGCAGGUCUCUGAGCCACUACUGACGCUGAGAAGCGAAAGCAUGGGGAGCGAACAGG
rnacentral:rRNA from 1 species